rnacentral:rRNA from 1 species
AGGAGGCAGCAGUGGGGAAUAUUGGUCAAUGGGCGCAAGCCUGAACCAGCCAUGCCGCGUGAAGGAUGAAGGCCUUCUGGGUUGUAAACUUCUUUUAUCUGGGAAGAAAAUUACGGUUUCUACUGUAACCGACGGUACCAGAGGAAUAAGCACCGGCUAACUCCGUGCCAGCAGCCGCGGUAAUACGGAGGGUGCAAGCGUUAUCCGGAUUUACUGGGUUUAAAGGGUGUGUAGGCGGGUCAUUAAGUCAGUGGUGAAAUCUCCGAGCUUAACUUGGAAACUGCCAUUGAUACUAUUGAUCUUGAAUUUUGUUGAGGUAGACGGAAUAAGUCAUGUAGCGGUGAAAUGCAUAGAUAUGACUUAGAACACCAAUUGCGAAGGCAGUUUACUAAACAAACAUUGACGCUGAGGCACGAAAGCGUGGGGAUCAAACAGGAUUAGAUACCCGAGUAGUCCC